GCUUUCCCUCCAGAGUGGAUCCUGAGUACGGCGGAACACGUGAAAUUCCGUCGGAAUCCGGGAGGACCAUCUCCCAAGGCUAAAUACUCCCUAGUGACCGAUAGUGAACCAGAACCGGGGGGGAAAGGUGAAAAGCACCCCGGAAGGGGAGUGAAACAGUUCCGGAAAACGUGUGCCUACAAGUAGUUAGCGCCGGUUAAUGGGUGAUAACGGGGCGUUUGAAGAAUGAACCGGAGAGUUACGAU
rnacentral:rRNA from 1 species